rnacentral:rRNA from 1 species
UGGGGAAUAUUGCACAAUGGGCGAAAGCCUGAUGCAGCGACGCCGCGUGAGGGAUGACGGCCUUCGGGUUGUAAACCUCUUUCAGCAGGGACGAAGCGCAAGUGACGGUACCUGCAGAAGAAGCACCGGCUAACUACGUGCCAGCAGCCGCGGUAAUACGUAGGGUGCAAGCGUUGUCCGGAAUUACUGGGCGUAAAGAGUUCGUAGGCGGUUUGUCGCGUCGUUUGUGAAAACCAGCAGCUCAACUGCUGGCUUGCAGGCGAUACGGGCAGACUUGAGUACUGCAGGGGAGACUGGAGUUCCUGGUGUAGCGGUGAAAUGCGCAGAUAUCAGGAGGAACACCGGUGGCGAAGGCGGGUCUCUGGGCAGUAACUGACGCUGAGGAACGAAAGCGUGGGUAGCGAACAGG